GUGAAAUCUUUCAAUUGCAAACUCACAGUUCAGUGAGAAGAAAGCCUUCAAUGGAUCUAGUUGUGUUGGUGCUUGGUUUCUCCUGUCUGCUCCUCCUUUCACUCUGGAGACACUGCUAUGGUGGCUCACAAAGGAGGAAAAGAAUACCUGUUGAUAAACAAAAUAUAGUUUAAAAGGGAUUUAUGAUUUUUGGCUGCAAGUUAAUGGUAAGGGAGUUUUGAUUAGAGAUUUUAUUAGUUCUCAGAAGUCUGUGGUCCUGUGUUUACUCUGUAUUUUGGCAUGAAAUUCACUGUGGUACUAGAUGCAUAUGAAGAUGUGAGAGAAGCCCUGGUUCAACUUGGGGGGGGGCAGAGUUUACUGGAAGAGGCAGUGUUUCACUGGCUGAAAAUUUCAUAAAGGCUUUGGUAAUUAUACAUGUGCCUGAUGUGCACAAGUGUGUGGUUGUCAGUGGUCAUGGGGAUAAGGAAGAUUGAAACAGGCUUGAAGAGCUCCUUAGAGAGAACUUAUCUGUGUGACUUCCACAUUCAGCUUCCCCUUUCUUGCUUGUGCUCGCCCUCAAUUAGGAAUUGUUUUCAGCAGUAGAAGGUCUCUUUCAUGACUUUAUGAAAUUUGUGAAUGAGGAAGAGGACUAUUGAGAAUCAUGUUCAAGAGGAAGCCCACUGUCUUGUGGAAGAGCUGAGAAAAACCAGUGGUUUGAGCUCGCAGGCUGAUUCCUACAGUCAGCCUACACGAUGGACAAAAUUUAAAAUUUAUGAAGACCAUCUGUGGAUGAUUACAGAGAGCAUAUCCUAUUCCACACCAUUACACCAGAAACUCUACAGACUUAUGGAUCAGGAAUCAU
rnacentral:lncRNA from 1 species